rnacentral:rRNA from 1 species
CAGCAGCCGCGGUAAUACGAAGGGGGCUAGCGUUGCUCGGAAUUACUGGGCGUAAAGGGAGCGUAGGCGGGUCGUUUAGUCAGAGGUGAAAUCCCGGGGCUCAACCUCGGAACUGCAUUUGAUACUGGCGACCUUGAGUAUGGGAGAGGUGAGUGGAACUCCGAGUGUAGAGGUGAAAUUCGUAGAUAUUCGGAAGAACACCAGUGGCGAAGGCGACUAACUGGCCCAUUACUGACGCUGAGGCUCGAAAGCGUGGGGAGCAAACAGGAUUAGAUACCCCGGUAGUCCCUGUCUCUUAUAC